rnacentral:lncRNA from 1 species
AUGGCAGAUGACAACAGAGACUCCUCUAGAGUGGAUGAAAAAGAAAUGACUAGACACCACCGACUCUGUGACCAGUUGGCAACUCAUCCAUUGUGCAACACAAGAAGAAGGCAAAAUUGGAAAAUCACCUUCACCCUGAGAAAGCAGAAUUGGAGUCGCCAGGUCCACUAAGUAGGACCAAACAGUAGUUAAAUUUCCAGGGGACUGAGGUCAUAGUGAAGUACAGAAGGCUGCAGUCACUGAACUGAAUUCUUUCCUACUGAAUGUACUGAGGACUUUUUGUCCUUUUGACAGCAUGAGACUACCCAAUGCUAAAGCUUUCAUCAUGACAUUGAGAUUAAUUUAAAAAAUUUGUUUUCCACUUCAACUUACUUCCAUAUACACUGUGUUCAUCUUGUUAGAAUAUAUAUAAAUCUGCACACACUAUUACACGUAUUUUUUUUAACUUUUAUUUAAUGAAUAUAAAUUUCCAAAGUACAGCUUAUGGAUUACAAUGGCUUCCCCCCCAUAACGUCCCUCCCACCCACAACCCUCCCCUUUCCCACUCCCUCUCUCCUUCCAUUCACAUCAUGAUUCAUUUUCGAUUAUCUUUAUAUACAGAAGAUCAGUUUAGCAUACAUUAAGUAAAGAUUUCAACAGUUUGCUCCCACACAGAAACAUAAAGUGAAAAAUACUGUUUGAGUACCAGUUAUAGCAUUAAAUCUUAAUGUACAGCACACUAAGGACAAAGAUCCUACAUGAGGAGUAAGUGCACAGUGACUCCUGUUGUUGACUUAACAAAUUGACACUCUUGUUUAUGGCAUCAGUAAUCACCCAUUAUUUGGAUUCUGUUAAAUUUAAAAUUAAUAUGUAUUCCAAAAUUUUAAAAAAUAUUUCAAUGUAUUAUCUUGAAUUUUAACUAUCUCUUAAAACUUGAUCUUGCUGUCUUUCAAUUGUCUGUCAGGUAAGUGAAAGAAAAUGUGGAAGUAGAAAUAGAAUUAGAAAAUCAAAUGCUAUCCACACUGAGUAAUCUCUUCAUCAUUUUAGUCAUGCUAUAUCUAUAUUCCCUAAGAAAAAUUAGAAUAAUUAUUUUUACUCUCACAUAGACUUCAGAAGGAAAUCAAUGGGGGUAUACUAAUUAUAAAAAGAAAAUAGAAAUAGCCAUUCCAUUUUGUAUACCUCAUCCUAUUGU